UACGUAGGUGGCAAGCGUUGUCCGGAUUUACUGGGCGUAAAGAGCGCGCAGGCGGUCGUUUAAGUCGAAUGUGAAAGCCCCCGGCUCAACUGGGGAGGGUCAUUCGAUACUGAUCGACUUGAAGGCAGGAGAGAGAAGUGGAAUUCCCGGUGUAGUGGUGAAAUGCGUAGAUAUCGGGAGGAACACCAGUGGCGAAGGCGGCGACCUGGGCCAAUAUUGACGCUGAGGUGCGAAAGCGUGGGGAGCAAACAGG
rnacentral:rRNA from 1 species